rnacentral:lncRNA from 1 species
UUGUACCAAGAUUGAUAGCCCUUAGCAUCGGCAUUUAGCCAAAAAAUCAACCUCAUUGGCGCCAAACCUCUAACUUUUCGAGCAAUUUCAAGCAUAGAUAUUGGUAUGGUUGGACUCCUGGAAGUGUGGGCUUGGAUUUGGUACCCUCGGAUCGGAUCUUUAUCGCUGUCAGAAAUUUUCCAGAGAUGGGCUCCAUGAC